AGAGUUUGAUCAUGGCUCAGAUUGAACGCUGGCGGCAUGCUUUACACAUGCAAGUCGAACGGCAGCGCGGGGCAACCUGGCGGCGAGUGGCGAAGGGGUGAGUAAUAUAUCGGAACGUACCCAAGAGUGGGGGAUAACGUAGCGAAAGUUACGCUAAUACCGCAUACGAUCUAAGGAUGAAAGCAGGGGAUCUUCGGACCUUGUACUCCUGGAGCGGCCGAUAUCUGAUUAGCUAGUUGGUGAGGUAAAGGCUCACCAAGGCCACGAUCAGUAGCUGGUCUGAGAGGACGACCAGCCACACUGGAACUGAGACACGGUCCAGACUCCUACGGGAGGCAGCAGUGGGGAAUUUUGGACAAUGGGCGAAAGCCUGAUCCAGCAAUGCCGCGUGAGUGAAGAAGGCCUUCGGGUUGUAAAGCUCUUUUGUCAGGGAAGAAACGGUGAAGGCUAAUAUCCUUCGCUAAUGACGGUACCUGAAGAAUAAGCACCGGCUAACUACGUGCCAGCAGCCGCGGUAAUACGUAGGGUGCAAGCGUUAAUCGGAAUUACUGGGCGUAAAGCGUGCGCAGGCGGUUUUGUAAGUCUGACGUGAAAUCCCCGGGCUCAACCUGGGAAUUGCGUUGGAGACUGCAAGGCUAGAAUCUGGCAGAGGGGGGUAGAAUUCCACGUGUAGCAGUGAAAUGCGUAGAGAUGUGGAGGAACACCGAUGGCGAAGGCAGCCCCCUGGGUCAAGAUUGACGCUCAUGCACGAAAGCGUGGGGAGCAAACAGGAUUAGAUACCCCGGUAGUCC
rnacentral:rRNA from 1 species